CACCCACGCCUUCCGCACCGAGAUCGACCUCAAGGCCCACAGGACGGCCUGCCACAGUCGCAGCCGCGCCGAGGCACGCCAGAACCGCCACAUCGACCUGCAGUUCAGCUACGCGCCACGGCACUCGCGCCGGAACGAGGGGGUCGUUGGUGGCGAAGACUACGAGGAGGUGGACAGGUACAGCCGCCAGGGCCGAGUGGCCCGGGCUGGCACUCGCGGAGCCCAGCAGAGCCGCCGAGGAAGCUGGAGGGAAGAAGAGGACCGAGAAGUAGCAGCUGCUGUCCGGGCCUCCGUGGCCGCACAGCAGCAGGAGGAGGCUCGCAGGAGUGAGGAUCAGGAGGAAGGCGGUAGGCCCAAGAAGGAGGAGGCAGCGGCGCGGGGACCUGAGGAUCCCCGUGGCCCCCGGCGCUCACCCCGGACUCAGGGCGAAGGCCCAGGCCCCAAGGAAACCUCGACAAAUGGUCCUGUAAGCCAAGAAGCCUUCUCGGUGACAGGCCCAGCCGCCCCAGGGUGUGUGGGGGUGCCAGGCGCCCUCCCACCACCCAGCCCGAAGCUCAAGGACGAAGACUUCCCCAGCCUCUCUGCCUCCACUUCCUCCUCCUGCUCCACUGCAGCAACCCCGGGCCCUGUGGGGUUGGCGCUGCCGUACGCCAUCCCUGCCAGAGGCAGGAGUGCCUUCCAGGAGGAGGACUUCCCCGCCCUGGUGUCCUCGGUGCCCAAGCCUGGCACCGCCCCCACCAGCCUUGUCUCUGCCUGGAACAGCAGCAGUAGCAGC
rnacentral:lncRNA from 1 species